GUGUCAGCAGCCGCGGUAAUACAGAGGGGGCAAGCGUUGUUCGGAAUUACUGGGCGUAAAGGGCGCGUAGGCGGCCCUCUAAGUCAGACGUGAAAUCCCUCGGCUCAACCGGGGAACUGCGUCUGAGACUGGAAGGCUUGAAUUCGGGAGAGGGAUGUGGAAUUCCAGGUGUAGCGGUGAAAUGCGUAGAUAUCUGGAGGAACACCGGUGGCGAAGGCGGCAUCCUGGACCGAGAUUGACGCUGAUGCGCGAAAGCCAGGGGAGCAAACGGGAUUAGAUACCCGGGUAGUCC
rnacentral:rRNA from 1 species